GGGCCUUUAGCUCAAUGGUUAGAGCAGGGGACUCAUAAUCCCCAAGUCAUUGACGAAGGGGUCACUA
rnacentral:tRNA from 1 species